AUUCCAGCUCCAAUAGCGUAUAUUAAAGUUGUUGUGGUUAAAAAGCUCGUAGUUGGAUUCCGGCGGGUAUAGGUUGGUUUGAAUUGCUUCAAUACUGACUUUUUUACCCGUGUGUUUUGCCAGAAUUUAACGGGUGAUCUUCGCCGAUUGUCUGUUAGAACUGACAGGUUUACUUUGAAAAAAUUAGAGUGCUCAAAGCAAGCUUGAUUGCUUGAAUAUUCGUGCAUGGAAUAAUAGAAUAGGAAGUCGUUUCUAUUUUGUUGGUUUUCGGAAAUCGACUUAAUGAUUAAUAGGGACAGUCGGGGGCAUUUGUAUUCAAACGACAGAGGUGAAAUUCUUGGACCGUUUGAAGACAAACUACUGCGAAAGCAUUUGCCAAGAAUGUUUUCAUCA
rnacentral:rRNA from 1 species